UACGGAAGGCAGCAGUGGGGAAUAUUGCACAAUGGGCGAAAGCCUGAUGCAGCUAUGCCGCGUGUAUGAAGAAGGCCUUAGGGUUGUAAAGUACUUUCAUCGGGGAGGAAAAAACAAAACUAAUAAUUUUAUUUCUUGACGUUACCCGAAAAAGAAGCACCGGCUAACUCCGUGCCAGCAGCCGCGGUAAUACGGAGGGUGCUAGCGUUAAUCAGAAUUACUGGGCGUAAAGAGCACGUAGGUGGUUUUUUAAGUCAGAUGUGAAAUCCCUGGGCUUUAACCUAGGAACUGCAUUUUGAAACUGAAAUACUAGAGUAUCGUAGAGGGAGGUAGAAUUCUAGGUGUAGCGGUGAAAUGCGUAGAUAUCUGGAGGAAUACCUGUGGCGAAAGCGGCCUCCUAAACGAAUACUGACACUGAGGGUGCGAAAAGCGUGGGGAGCGAAAACAGGGAUUAGAUACC
rnacentral:rRNA from 1 species